rnacentral:rRNA from 1 species
UACGGAGGGUGCGAGCGUUGUCCGGAAUCAUUGGGCGUAAAGGGCGCGUAGGUGGCCACUUCAAGCGUGCGGUGAAAGUCGGGGGCUCAACCCCUGAUCGGCCGUGCGAACUGGGGGGCUGGAGCACUGUAGAGGCAGGCGGAAUCCGGGUGUAGCGGUGGAAUGCGUAGAGAUCCGGAAGAACACCGGUGGCGAAGGCGGCCUGCUGGGCAGUUUUGCUGACACUGAGGCGCGACAGCGUGGGGAGCAAACAGG